GACGUAGGGCGCGGAGCGUUGUCCGGAUUUAUUGGGCGUAAAGAGCUCGUAGGCGGUUUGUCGCGUCGGGAGUGAAAACACGGGGCGUUAACCCCGUGCCUGCUUCCGAUACGGGCAGACUAGAGGUAUGCAGGGGAGAACGGAAUUCCUGGUGUAGCGGUAGAAAUGCGCAGAUAUCAGGAGGAACACCGGUGGCGAAGGCGGUCUCUGGGCAUUACCUGACGCUGAGGAGCGAAAGUGUGGGGAGCGAACAGG
rnacentral:rRNA from 1 species